rnacentral:tRNA from 1 species
UUUAGUUUAGUUUAAGAAAAAUAAAAGCUUGUCAAGCUUUAGAUGCAAUAAAAUUUAUUUGUAGCUAAAU